rnacentral:rRNA from 1 species
ACCCUUUAAUGUUUGAUGUUCUAACGUGGACCCGUGAUCCGGGUUGCGGACAGUGUCUGGUGGGUAGUUUGACUGGGGCGGUCUCCUCCUAAAGAGUAACGGAGGAGCACGAAGGUUGGCUAAUCCUGGUCGGACAUCAGGAGGUUAGUGCAAUGGCAUAAGCCAGCUUGACUGCGAGCGUGACGGCGCGAGCAGGUGCGAAAGCAGGUCAUAGUGAUCCGGUGGUUCUGAAUGGAAGGGCCAUCGCUCAACGGAUAAAAGGUACUCCGGGGAUAACAGGCUGAUACCGCCCAAGAGUUCAUAUCGACGGCGGUGUUUGGCACCUCGAUGUCGGCUCAUCACAUCCUGGGGCUGAAGUAGGUCCCAAGGGUAUGGCUGUUCGCCAUUUAAAGUGGUACGCGAGCUGGGUUUAGAACGUCGUGAGACAGUUCGGUCCCUAUCUGCCGUGGGCGCUGGAGAACUGAGGGGGGCUGCUCCUAGUACGAGAGGACCGGAGUGGACGCAUCACUGGUGUUCGGGUUGUCAUGCCAAUGGCACUGCCCGGUAGCUAAAUGCGGAAGAGAUAAGUGCUGAAAGCAUCUAAGCACGAAACUUGCCCCGAGAUGAGUUCUCCCUGAGACUUAGAGUCUCCUGAAGGAACGUUGAAGACGACGACGUUGAUAGGCCGGGUGUGUAAGCGCAGCGAUGCGUUGAGCUAACCGGUACUAAUGAACCGUGAGGCUUAACCUUA